rnacentral:rRNA from 1 species
UACGGGGGGGGCAAGCGUUGUUCGGAAUUACUGGGCGUAAAGGGCUCGUAGGCGGCCAACUAAGUCGGAUGUGAAAUCCCCAGGCUUAACCUGGGAACUGCAUCCGAUACUGGAUGGCUCGAGACCGAGAGAGGUGAGUGGAAUACCCAGUGUAGAGGUGAAAUUCGUAGAUAUUGGGUGGAACACCGGUGGCGAAAGCGGCUCACUGGCUCGGUUCUGACGCUGAGGUGCGAAAGCGUGGGGAGCAAACAGG